rnacentral:lncRNA from 1 species
UGCACGUGGUGAGGUCCCACGUUUUGCUGUUGGACCUUUCACCUGCUCCAUUAUGGGAACCAGGUUCCUCCGGGCAGUAGAACCGAGAAAGGACUGAGAACCACACUCCGUUCAGUACCAAGAUGAAACCAAGAUUCCCAGCUGAAAUAACGCUACCAAACAAUGGUCCUUCCUUCGCGUUCCUACUCACCAAGCUUUCCGUCUCUUUUCUGUACAGAUCAUUUAACUCUUCUAGACAACCGUCUUACUCUUCCAGGUCACCAUCUUUCUCCACCAGGUCCCAACAAUGGACAAACUCAAAUGACAGCCUUCACAUCGCUCCAACCCACUUACUUUUAGAUUUUCCUUGCACCGUGAUGAAGAAAACAAUCACGGGAAUGCAGACCACGGUUAAAAUAAUACUCAAAAUUACCCACAUAAUAUUUCUGUUGAAGAAGGAAAAUAUUGACAUCAGUUCGGUUAUGCGCGGGUGGGUCAAUACUGCACCUGCCUUUUGUGGGACGUGCAUGAGUCGCAGCCCCAGCAGUGGCAGGGCAUUGAAUCUGCACAUGGAAGAUCAUCACCCAUUCCCUGGACACUCUGUUGUGCAUCGUGGAGCCUGGCUUCUCUCAGGACUCCUGAUGGAAGACAGUGACAGAUUUCUGAGCAUCUAUGAGACAGACCUUGGGCUCCAAUGUCUGCAUCUCUGA